rnacentral:rRNA from 1 species
UACGUAGGGUGCAAGCGUUGUCCGGAAUUAUUGGGCGUAAAGCGCGCGUAGGCGGCCGCUUAAGUCGGAUGUGAAAGCCCCUGGCUCAACUGGGGAAGUGCACCCGAAACUGAAUGGCUUGAAUGCAAAAGAGGGUCGCGGAAUUCCCGGUGUAGAGGUGAAAUUCGUAGAUAUCGGGAGGAACACCGGUGGCGAAGGCGGCGACCUGGGUUGACAUUGACGCUGAGGCGCGAAAGCGUGGGGAGCAAACAGG